UGGGGAAUAUUGGACAAUGGGGGGAACCCUGAUCCAGCCAUGCCGCGUGUGUGAAGAAGGCCUUAUGGUUGUAAAGCACUUUAAGCGAGGAGGAGGGUACUGGUAUUAAUACUACCAGGUACUGGACGUUACUCGCAGAAUAAGCACCGGCUAACUCUGUGCCAGCAGCCGCGGUAAUACAGAGGGUGCGAGCGUUAAUCGGAUUUACUGGGCGUAAAGCGUGCGUAGGCGGCUAAUUGAGUCGGAUGUGAAAUCCCCGAGCUUAACUUGGGAAUUGCAUUCGAUACUGGUUAGCUAGAGUGUGGGAGAGGAUGGUAGAAUUCCAGGUGUAGCGGUGAAAUGCGUAGAGAUCUGGAGGAAUACCGAUGGCGAAGGCAGCCAUCUGGCCUAACACUGACGCUGAGGUACGAAAGCAUGGGAAGCAAACAGG
rnacentral:rRNA from 1 species